UAAGCAGUGGUCCUCCGGUGAUCGAAAC
rnacentral:piRNA from 1 species